UACGGAGGGGGCUAGCGUUGCUCGGAAUCACUGGGCGUAAAGCGCACGUAGGCGGAUUGUUAAGUCAGGGGUGAAAUCCUGGAGCUCAACUCCAGAACUGCCUUUGAUACUGGCGAUCUAGAGUCCGGAAGAGGUGAGUGGAACUCCUAGUGUAGAGGUGGAAUUCGUAGAUAUUAGGGAAGAACACCAGUGGCGAAGGCGGCUCACUGUCGGUACGUGACGCUGAGGUGCGAAAGCGUGGGGAGCAAACAGG
rnacentral:rRNA from 1 species